GCCGCUCCGGGUGCCCUUGACUGGGUGGCCCGCGGCACCUGUCCGUUUUACUUUGAAAAAAUUAGAGUGUUCAAGGCAGGCUCUGACGGCCUGAAUAAUGGUGCAUGGAAUAAUGGAACAGGACCUCGGUUCUAUUCUGUUGGUUCUCCGGGACUCGAGGUAAUGAUCAAGAGGGACAGACGGGGGCAUUCGUACUGCGGCGUGAGAGGUGAAAUUCUUGGACCGCCGCAAGACGGACUACUGCGAAAGCAUUUGCCAAGAAUGUUUUCAUUAAUCAAGAACGAAAGUCAGAGGUU
rnacentral:rRNA from 1 species